UGAAGCCAGCGCUCUAACCACUGAGCUACCGAACACAUGUAAGUAUGUGUGUGUGUGAUAAAACAGUUGUCAGUUUACUGCCAGUACUACAUUUACUGUGUGCAUGUGUCAUUCACCUACGGAAAGACCUCAAAGUGACACUGAUCUAUUUUUGGGUAUUACUGAGGCAUUAUUAACGCGUCACACAUCGCGGGACAGCGAGAUCACAAGUCACAACGCCUCACCAGUGGAUUUUUUGCCCUUCCAUCUACUUAUAACUUAUAUUUGCAAAGUGAUUUUUCCUUUUCUCCCUUUUAACUAGCAUUUAUAAUCGCGUUUUUAAUUGUAACCUUCUUUUCCUCGUCAAUUUCAAAUCAAAUAAUAAAAAAUAAGGAGAAAAUAAGAAAAGAACGAGAAAUAAUGAAAACAAUAGAAAGUGUUUAGGCUCGUCGACCUCCCCUUUCCCCGGCCGUCAGUUUGGCUGUGGGCACUCUUCCACUUACCUCUGCCAUCUCUUUCAUACUGCCUCACUCACCCAUAACUCUCCUCCAUCAGUCAAGAAGCACAAGAACGAUGCUGUGUCGGAGGCAGAGCAGCUUUGACAUCUGCUGCGUUGAGGGAGGUAUGUGGAGUUCAACUUGGUGUACCACCGAGGCACCAAGUUUGGAUUUGCCACACCGAACGCCAGGAUUGAGAGUAUCUUGAUGUCUCUUGCCCUUCAUGCGAGGUGGAAGUACAUGCACCACCCAGCGCUAGGCACACUGGAGUACAAGAUCACAGAGGUGCUUAAGAACCCGAAGGACUGGAUGUAGCCAGCAACUGUGAUGGGGCCAACCUGCUCACCCUUUCACUGAGACUUACCUCUGACACCACUAAAGCCUGUGCAGUUCUUAGGAGCACCAACUAAGAGAUGUGCUGUACCGGUGGCGUGGCGUUGAGGGAAGCGCCUCUCUGUAUCCCUGCCCACCACUUUACUUGAGUAAACACAUGAAGAUGUUCCAGAGUUUCAAGAAGGGAGUGGCACACACACACACACACACACUUUACUGCACUCCGAGUAAGACUUUGGAGGUUCAGCGGCACACUGCAAGACCGAGAGGGCAAGGAUGGAGGAUGUUGCAACAUUCACAGCAUCAUUCGUUCAUGCUUUCUUGUUUUGUGGAAAGUAGUGCACACAGUUUUGACGGAAGGAUUGUCAACACUCAUAUUGAUAGAUUGUGACAUUGUGUUGACCUUUGUGCAUCAAAUCACUUCAUUACAUGUAAGUUGUACAUUUAGCUACAAGGAGUAAUGGUUUUUGAGAUUUGUGAUGUAUAAAAAGUGACUUAUAAGAGAUCCUGCAUUAUGAAGAUUUGUUUAAGGGUGUUUGUUUAUUAGCAUGAUCUAGAUGUGUCAGUCUUAACAGUCCAGAAUGUACAGACCAUUGCUCUUCCUGCAGAUGGAAUUUCAGUCAACACUGCAAUGUGUGUGUGUGUGUGUGUGUGUGUGGGCAGCUUUGUGGGCAGUCAUUCCUUGAUGUCAGUGUCUUUCAUUUAGGAGAAAAAUGUGUAUAAUUAGGUUUAUAUACAUUUUUGAGUGAGAAUGUAUAGACUGAUGAAAUAUUAAGUUUCUCAACUUUUUAGAGCUUUGGUGUUCUGUGUGAGAUUUCAGGGGCCGCAUUCAUCAUGGUGGGAGCUUGGCUGUAUAUACCAUAGCAUGAUCCCCAACAGUUUUUGAUAUUAAUUAAUGAUAAAUAUCUGUAGUGAUGACUAAAUUGUGUCUUUCUUUGAUGCAGUAACUUACCAUUAUAGACAGCUGCCAAGACGAGCACCAUCAGUUGUCCCAAAACUUAAACAAACCUUGCUCUGUGUGGCCUGCAUGUGCCAUGUGCCAUUUGUCAUGUCAUGUCAUGUUAUGUUAGUCUAACUUUUCCCAAAGUAGUAAUAUAAUGUCAGAAUAAUUUAAAUUGUAGAAAAUUAAGUCGAGGAGCUAUUUCUUUGUAUACAUAUAUAAAGUUGACAAGUAAUGAGGCUAAAGACCAACAGUGGAGUGGCAGUCAGGCAUUCAGUGAGACAUGAGGCUGACUGUGUAGAAUGCGGCCCCAGAAUGACGGUCUGUGUUUUGUGACAAUAUAGUGUUGCAAGGGACAACAUGCUGUUUGAGAGCAGUGCCAUUGUGAAAUGCUUAAAAAAUCAUUUUACAUAGUUGAUAUUUCCUCCUAGACUUGCAAUGAAAAUACUCUCAAAAUACUACUUAUGUUCUUAUAUUAUUUUUUUUUUUGUUAUUUUACCUGUUCAUACAGAGACUCCUGCCAUGUAUGUGCAGGCCUCAUGGUCCCUCUUGCAACUUUCCUCAUUUUUGUUUCUCUAAUACUUUGUAAGGUGAAAAUAUUCCCAGAGUAAAAAAUAUAAAAUUGUCACAAGUUGGAAAUUGCAUAAAUUAUUCUAAGUUUCAAUGUAAAAAAAUGUAUAAAUUCUCCACUAAAGAUUAUUGUAAGUUGCAAAUUUUUGUUGAGAAUUGUAAAAAUGUUCUCAAAUUUACUAUUGUACUGUAAAAAUUUUUGAACUAAAGAUUAUUGUAAGUUGCAAAUUUUUGUUGAGAAUUGUAAAAAUUUUCUCAAAUUUACUAUUGUACUGUAAAAAUUUUUGAACUAAAGAAUAUUGUAAGUUGCAAAUUUUUGUUGAGAAUUGUAAAAAUUCUCAAAUUUACUAUUGUAUUGUAAAAAUUUUUUUGAAGUUGAAAAUUUUGGUAGAGUUUUCAGACGUGUCACAUUUCUGGUUGAAAUUUGUAAAAUUUUCUCAAAUUUACUAUUGUACUGUAAAAAUUUUUGCUCAAAUUUACUAUUGUACUGUAAAAAUUUUUGAAGUUGAAAAUUUUGGUAGAGUUUUCAGACGUGUCACAUUUCUGGUUGAAAUUUGUAAAAUUUUCUGGUUGAAAUUUGUAAAAUUUUCUAAGUUGAAAAUUUUGGUAGACUUUUUAGAAAUUUAUGUAAAAAUGUGUUGAUUGAAUAAAAGUGAAGGAAG
rnacentral:lncRNA from 1 species